UGCUAUACUGCAGUCGAACGCUUCUUUUUCCACCGGAGCUUGCUCCACCGGAAAAAGAAGAGUGGCGAACGGGUGAGUAACACGUGGGUAACCUGCCCAUCAGAAGGGGAUAACACUUGGAAACAGGUGCUAAUACCGUAUAACAAUCAAAACCGCAUGGUUUUGAUUUGAAAGGCGCUUUCGGGUGUCGCUGAUGGAUGGACCCGCGGUGCAUUAGCUAGUUGGUGAGGUAACGGCUCACCAAGGCCACGAUGCAUAGCCGACCUGAGAGGGUGAUCGGCCACAUUGGGACUGAGACACGGCCCAAACUCCUACGGGAGGCAGCAGUAGGGAAUCUUCGGCAAUGGACGAAAGUCUGACCGAGCAACGCCGCGUGAGUGAAGAAGGUUUUCGGAUCGUAAAACUCUGUUGUUAGAGAAGAACAAGGAUGAGAGUAACUGUUCAUCCCUUGACGGUAUCUAACCAGAAAGCCACGGCUAACUACGUGCCAGCAGCCGCGGUAAUACGUAGGUGGCAAGCGUUGUCCGGAUUUAUUGGGCGUAAAGCGAGCGCAGGCGGUUUCUUAAGUCUGAUGUGAAAGCCCCCGGCUCAACCGGGGAGGGUCAUUGGAAACUGGGAGACUUGAGUGCAGAAGAGGAGAGUGGAAUUCCAUGUGUAGCGGUGAAAUGCGUAGAUAUAUGGAGGAACACCAGUGGCGAAGGCGGCUCUCUGGUCUGUAACUGACGCUGAGGCUCGAAAGCGUGGGGAGCAAACAGGAUUAGAUACCCUGGUAGUCCACGCCGUAAACGAUGAGUGCUAAGUGUUGGAGGGUUUCCGCCCUUCAGUGCUGCAGCUAACGCAUUAAGCACUCCGCCUGGGGAGUACGACCGCAAGGUUGAAACUCAAAGGAAUUGACGGGGGCCCGCACAAGCGGU
rnacentral:rRNA from 1 species